UACAAUAAUCUUUGAUAUAACUGAGAGGCGCCCUUUUGAUAAAUUUAAUUGUUUACUUUGUUUGCAAUUAAAUUGUUGUCAACAAAACGAAAAGUUUCCUUGAAAAUUUAUCGAGUGCGAAGCUGAGUUAAAUUGACGGAAUAGACGAGGAUUUCGGUGGCCCCUGCAGCUGGAUUUCGGCGGAAUUGAGUAGGACAGAAGCCUUCUUAGCCUAUAGCUUCUUUUCGGACGAAUAUUCCAGCUUUUGUGGAAAUCAGGACGAUCAGGAAAAGCGCUUGACGAAACGAAAAGCUUCUGGGCAGGUCUUCACGCGUUCACCUCAUUGCAUCGUUGGCCGUGCUGUGACGUUAUGUUUUUGGUGACAUUCUUUGAGAAAAAUCCGUUUCAUGAUCAGGUAGCAAUUGCCUAAGUGCCUUAAAAAGAACUACAGAAAAAGGAUAAUAUAAAACCGAUCUUUGCUGCGUGGGAAUUUAACACCCUUCAAUUUUCCUUGGAAUUCCGUGUUCAAACCAGUGAUUACAGGGAUCCGUAUACGCUGCAGCUGUUUCAUCAGAUAAAUCGAAGAUAACAUCAAUUCUGGUCUUGCUCACUAAGCGGGGUGCACGAAUUAAAUUUUAGACCGGAACAAUAAUUUCUGCAAGUGGUCAUGGUCAUCUAUCGGUUGUUGUGGAAAAACAUGCACAAAAUGUUUUCGGUUCAUUUGGAAAGCAGUAUCCGGAAGUGCUUGAAACAGAAUGACGUUUUCUACAGAACGAGUACGGAUUUGAAAAUACUUGUUCUGCAACUUAAAUUUGGGUUUUGGAAUAGGAAAUCCAUGACGGUUUCCACAGCACAGUGUUUUGUAUACUUUAGCAUCACUGCUUCUGAAGCAGCGUUGCAGGAAUGUUGGCUACGGGGAGAAUUAUUUUCCCUCUGCAAAAGGAUGACAAGAAUUUCCGAGACGAGAUGGAAGUUGCUCACGAAUACAAACAGAGCCUACGAAAGGAAAAUGUAACGAACAGCAAAAACCACUCUUAAGAUUCAACCGGUUGUUGCCAAGGAUUCUCGCAAGCGAAUGCCUCCAAACCGAUGCUACCCAAUAAGGAAAUCGAAGGCGUACGGCAGCCGAUUUAUGUGGACUGUGGAUUCUCAGAUAAGCUAAGCUAAACUAUUACGCAGAGAAAAGCUAAAAAACGAUUAUUGAACGUUGUCCAAAGAAAAGCAGAAUGCCUGAUCAGUUCUCAUCAUAAACGGUUUUCCACUGGCAUACAUCUAGAGCUUACUUAAAAGAAAGGUAGCUAACUUUUGAUCUUCAAAAUAGUUUUUCAGUUUCAUUACAAGUAAUGUUAUAGAUGAAAAUUAACCGACGGCGUUUCUAAAUGGGGUUAUAAAUAGCUCUUCCGCAAUUUCCGUAUGAAAACUACCGAGAAAAUAGAUUUUGCUGUUAAUCAUUGCGAAAUGUUAGUUCAUCAGAACAAUUGAUUACUUGAGACACGGUUCCCAUAAUCGCAGAUUGAAAAAUCGUUUGUUCAAAUCGGAGUGUUAUGUCUUAUAAAAAUUUAAUAAUUCUUAAAAAGAAAUUUGAAUUCAGAGUAAGACUAAAUUCUGUGAACGAACAAAGUGGCAAAUAAAAUCA